UACAGAGGGUGCAAACGUUGCUCGGAAUCAUUGGGCGUAAAGCGCUCGUAGGCGGUCUAGCAAGUCGGCUGUGAAAUCCCUCGGCUUAACCGAGGAAGUGCACUCGAAACUACUAGACUCGAAUACUCAAGAGGGUCUCGGAAUUCCCGGUGUAGAGGUGAAAUUCGUAGAUAUCGGGAGGAACACCAGUGGCGAAGGCGGAGACCUGGGGAGAUAUUGACGCUGAGUGAGCGAAAGCGUGGGGAGCAAACAGG
rnacentral:rRNA from 1 species